rnacentral:rRNA from 1 species
GACGAACGCUGGCGGCAGGCCUAACACAUGCAAGUCGAGGGGUAGAACACUUCGGUGUUUGAGACCGGCGCACGGGUGCGUAACGCGUAUGCAAUCUACCUUGUACAGGGGAAUAGCCCAGAGAAAUUUGGAUUAAUGCCCCAUAGUAUAUAACCUUCGCAUGUUGGUUAUAUUAAAGUUCCAACGGUACAAGACGAGCAUGCGUCCCAUUAGUUAGUUGGUAAGGUAACGGCUUACCAAGACGAUGAUGGGUAGGGGUCCUGAGAGGGAGAUCCCCCACACUGGUACUGAGACACGGACCAGACUCCUACGGGAGGCAGCAGUGAGGAAUAUUGGUCAAUGGGCGCAAGCCUGAACCAGCCAUGCCGCGUGCAGGAAGACGGUCCUAUGGAUUGUAAACUGCUUUUAUACAGGAAGAAACAACUCUACGUGUAGAGUCUUGACGGUACUGUAGGAAUAAGGAUCGGCUAACUCCGUGCCAGCCGCCGCGGUAAAAC